CAAUAGCGUAUAUUAAAGUUGUUGCAGUUAAAAAGCUCGUAGUUGGAUUUCUGGGAGGGUGCCAAUGUCCGUCAACGUGCGUGUGCAGCGGCGCCCUUCCAUCCUUCUGUUAACGCCUCUGGGCAUUUACUCGCCGGUGGCGGGCUCAGAUAUUUUACCUUGAGAAAAUUAGAGUGUUUCAGGCAGGCUAGGCCGGAAUACAUUAGCAUGGAAUAAUAGAAUAGGACUAUGGUCUCUUUGUUGGUUUGAGGGACUAUGGUAAUGAUUAAUAGGGAUAGUUGGGGGCAUUAGUAUUUAAUUGUCAGAGGUGGAAUUCUCAGAUUUGUUAAAGACUAACUUAUGCGAAAGCAUUUGCCAAGGAUGUUUUCAUUAA
rnacentral:rRNA from 1 species